rnacentral:rRNA from 1 species
CCUACGGGAGGCAGCAGUGAGGAAUAUUGGUCAAUGGGCGAGAGCCUGAACCAGCCAAGUCGCGUGAGGGAGUACUGCCCUAUGGGUUGUAAACUUCUUUUAUAAAGGAAUAAAACGAGGCACGUGUGCCUUUUUGCAUGUACUUUAUGAAUAAGGAGCGGCUAACUCCGUGCCAGCAGCCGCGGUAAUACGGAGGAUCCGAGCGUUAUCCGGAUUUAUUGGGUUUAAAGGGAGCGUAGAUGGGUUGUUAAGUCAGUUGUGAAAGUUUGCGGCUCAACCGUAAAAUUGCAAUUGAUACUGGCAGUCUUGAGUACAGUUGCGGUCAGCGGUCUUCGUGGUGUCGCG